rnacentral:rRNA from 1 species
UGCCCACUGAUUUUAAUUAAAGGGCUGCAGUAUAUUGACUGUACAAAGGUAGCAUAAUCAUUAGUCAUUUAAUUGAUGACUUGUAUGAAAGAUUGGAUGAGAUAUAAACUGUCUUAAAAUUAAAUUUUAAAAUUUAAUUUUUCAAUUAAAAAGUUGAAAUAAAUUAAAAAGACGAGAAGACCCUAUAGAGUUUUAUUAAUAUUGAUUUUAAUAGUUUUAUAUAAUUUACAAUAAAUAUUAAUUUUUAUAUUAAUUUUAUUGGGGUGAUAGAAAAAUUUAAUAAACUUUUUUAAAAUUUAAACAUAGAUAAGUGAUAAAAGUUAUUUAGUGAUCCAUUAAUAUUGAUUUGAAGAAAAAAUUACCUUAGGGAUAACAGCGUAAUUUUUUUUUUUAGUUCAUAUAAAAAGGAAAGUUUGCGACCUCGAUGUUGGAUUAAGAUAAAAUUUAAAUGUAGAAGUUUAAAGUUUUGA